CCACUGAGCCCUGGAGCAAUGAGGAGGAACCAUGAACGAGAUAUCAGCAAUGAGGUACCUUCUCAGCAGGCAGUGACAACACACAGGACAACACCCAAACUCCAAUAAACAUAGGAAUAGGGAGGUACAUUCACUGAACUGCACCCCCUAUAAAAAAGAAUCAAGCAAGUGAAAAGAAAAACACAGCUUUGAGAAACUGAAAAUUUCAACUGCAAAUUCAAGGUUAACGAAAUGAAAUGGAGGAUUAGAUCGUGCUUAAUGACAACAAGAACAUGACAAAGGUGCAAAACCCUUCAGGAGUUGUCUCCAAAUCUACAUUAAAGUUCUCAUUUGGCUCUAAACCUUUUUAAACCAGUUCUGUUGUGCCUGGAAGGAAUUUAGCGCCUCACACCCCACCCCUGAGCCACCUGGUGAAGCUGGAGGACCUUCUGAAGGACCCCAUGAAGCCAGGGGCAGAGCAAAAGGCAGUAUUUGGGAGCCAGAUCCCUGGCUACCACACAGGAAC